rnacentral:rRNA from 1 species
GAUGAACGCUAGCGGCAGGCCUAAUACAUGCAAGUCGGACGGGAUCCAUUGAUAGCUUGCUAUCAAUGGUGAGAGUGGCGCACGGGUGCGUAACGCGUGAGCAACCUGCCUCCAUCAGGGGGAUAGCCUCUCGAAAGAGAGAUUAACACCGCAUAAUAUCAACAGUUCGCAUGUUCAGUUGAUUAAAUAUUUAUAGGAUGGAGAUGGGCUCGCGUGACAUUAGCUAGUUGGUAGGGUAACGGCUUACCAAGGCGACGAUGUCUAGGGGCUCUGAGAGGAGAAUCCCCCACACUGGUACUGAGGCACGGACCAGACUCCUACGGGAGGCAGCAGUAAGGAAUAUUGAUCAAUGGGCGGAAGCCUGAACCAGCCAUGCCGCGUGCAGGAUGACUGCCCUAUGGGUUGUAAACUGCUUUUGUCCAGGAAUAAACCUAAAUACGAGUAUUUAGCUGAAUGUACUGGAAGAAUAAGGAUCGGCUAACUCCGUG